rnacentral:rRNA from 1 species
GAUGAACGCUGGCGGCGUACCUAAUACAUGCAAGUCGAGCGAACGGACGAGAAGCUUGCUUCUCUGAUGUUAGCGGCGGACGGGUGAGUAACACGUGGAUAACCUACCUAUAAGACUGGGAUAACUUCGGGAAACCGGAGCUAAUACCGGAUAAUAUUUUGAACCGCAUGGUUCAAAAGUGAAAGACGGUCUUGCUGUCACUUAUAGAUGGAUCCGCGCUGCAUUAGCUAGUUGGUAAGGUAACGGCUUACCAAGGCAACGAUGCAUAGCCGACCUGAGAGGGUGCUCGGCCACACUGGAACUGAGACACGGUCCAGACUCCUACGGGAGGCAGCAGUAGGGAAUCUUCCGCAAUGGGCGAAAGCCUGACGGAGCAACGCCGCGUGAGUGAUGAAGGUCUUCGGAUCGUAAAACUCUGUUAUUAGGGAAGAACAUAUGUGUAAGUAACUGUGCACAUCUUGACGUUACCUAAUCAGAAAGCCACGGCUAACUCCGUG